GGCAACCGUGGUGAGCCAAUUUUACAGUUACAGACCUGUAAUGACUCAUGCAGAUAUGACUGCAUGGUUUUAGAAUGGUUUUAGAACAUCUAAGGGACUGAGUUGUC